UACGUAGGGGGCUAGCGUUGUUCGGAAUUACUGGGCGUAAAGCGUGCGCAGGCGGCUUCUCAAGUCAGGGGUGAAAGCCCAGAGCUCAACUCUGGAAUUGCCUUUGAGACUGAGUGGCUUGAGUACGGGAGAGGUGAGUGGAAUUCCCAGUGUAGAGGUGAAAUUCGUAGAUAUUGGGAAGAACACCGGUGGCGAAGGCGGCUCGCUGGCCCGUAACUGACGCUCAUGCACGACAGCGUGGGGAGCAAACAGG
rnacentral:rRNA from 1 species